rnacentral:rRNA from 1 species
AUGGCCGGGUCCAUCGCGGCCGCGGCCUUCUUCCCGGGGCCGCCGGGGCCGCCGCCGCCGCCCAAGAGCGCCCUGGGCGAGCGUCCGGACAGCCUGGACGUCCGCGGCAUCGCCGCGAGGCAGGCCUCGUCGUCCUCCGCCGUGAGGGCCGCCAGGACGCGCGCCCACGCGGCCGUCCCCAAGGUGAACGGCGGCGGCAAGUCGGCGCUGGCGGACGCGGAGCACGACGCCAUGCCCUCGGCGGCGCAGCCGAGGACGUUCUACAACCAGCUGCCCGACUGGAGCAUGCUCCUCGCGGCCAUCACCACCAUCUUCCUGGCCGCCGAGAAGCAGUGGACGCUGCUCGACUGGAAGCCCAAGCGGCCCGACAUGCUCGUCGACACGCUGGGCUUCGGCACCAUCGUACACGACGGCGUCAUGUUCAGGCAGAACUUCUCCAUCAGGUCCUACGAGAUUGGGGCUGACCGGACGGCGUCCAUUGAGACGCUCAUGAACCAUCUGCAGGAAACUGCACUCAAUCAUGUGAAGGUCGUUGGGCUGCUAGGAGAUGGCUUCGGUUCGACGCCGGAGAUGAGUAAACGGAACUUGUUCUGGGUUGUCAGCCAAAUGCAGGCCAUCGUCGAGCGUUAUCCAUGCUGGGGUGAUACUGUUGAGGUGAACACCUGGGUUGGCCAUCAUGGUAAAAACGGGAUGCGUCGGGACUGGCAUAUACGUGAUUCUGUGACGGGCCUUACAGUACUGAAGGCGACAAGUAAAUGGGUUAUGAUGAACAAGGUUACUAGAAGGCUUGCAAGAAUUCCAGAUGAAGUACGGACUGAAAUAGAGCCGUUCUUUUCUGAGUAUGCUGCUAUUGAUGACCAAGACAACCGAAAAUUUCCAAAACUGCCGGAGCAUGACCGUGCUACCUCAGCCAAAUAUGUCCGGACAGGCCUGACUCCACGGUGGGCUGAUCUUGAUAUCAAUCAGCAUGUCAAUAAUGUUAAAUACAUUGGCUGGAUCCUUGAGAGCGCGCCAAUCUCCAUCCUGGAGAACCAUGAACUGGCGAGCAUAGUCCUGGACUACAAACGGGAGUGCGGCCGGAACAGCGUCCUGGAGUCGCACACCACGGUGCACACCGACUGCGCCGACGAGUCCGGAGAAACAACUCUGCACUGCGAGCAUCUGCUGAGCCUGGAGUCAGGACCGACCAUCGUGAAGGCCCGGACCAUGUGGCGGCCCAAGGGGGCCAAGUCCCAGGAAACGGCGGCUCUGUCGUGGUGA